UUCUGUCUGUUAAAUGGAAUUCUAGAGAUGAAGUAGCCCAGAUGUAUUGCUUGGUAAAAGAUUGGCCUCCAAUCAAACCUGAACAGGCUAUGGAACUUCUGGACUGUAAUUACCCAGAUCCUAUGGUUCGAGGUUUUGCUGUUCGGUGCUUGGAAAAAUAUUUAACAGAUGACAAACUUUCUCAGUAUUUAAUUCAGCUAGUACAGGUCCUAAAAUAUGAACAAUAUUUGGAUAACUUGCUUGUGAGAUUUUUACUGAAGAAAGCAUUGACUAAUCAAAGGAUUGGGCACUUUUUCUUUUGGCAUUUAAAGUAAGUCUAAUUAUUUUCCCAUUAAAUUCUU